GCCUGGGUGGUUCAGUCGGUUAAGCGUCUGACUUCAGCUCAGGUCAUGAUCUCUCGGUCUGUGGGUUCAAGCCCCGCGUUGGGCU
rnacentral:tRNA from 1 species